ACCACGGCACUCCAGCCUGGGUGACAGAGCAAGACUCUUGUUUCAAAACAACAACAAAAACAAUAAAAAUCCUAGGCAUUCUCCAAGCAAUCUACCAUUGAGAAAGGAGCGCCAUUCUCAGCAUCUCUCUCCACGUGCGAUGUUCCAUACCCUCCCGCUCCCCACUUCAUACACAGAAACCUAAUCACCGAGGUGAUGGGAUUAGGACGUGGAGCCUUUGGGAGGUGAUUACGUUAUGAGGGCUGAGUGUCCUUCUAAAAGAGGCCCCAGAGAGCUUGUUCCUUCCACCCUGUGAGGACACAGUGAGAAGGUGCCUUCUAUGAGCCAGGAAACAGGCCCUCGCCAGACACCAAAUCCACCUGCCCCUCAGUCUUGGACUUUCCCAGCCUCCACAACUGUGGGAGGUGAAUUUCCAUUGUUUGUAAGCUGCCUGGUUUAUGAUAUUUUGAUAUGGCAGCCCAAACAGAGGUAGAUACCAUGUGUAGAGAGAAGCAGGCAGAGAAAUAGGAGAGUUGAAGGGUACCCCACCCUCCUUGAUUUCUAGUUGAGGAAAUGGAGGCUGUGAGUGCUGCAACUGAGCGGGGGUUCUGAGUGCUGGAACUGAGCGGGGGUUCUGAGUGCUGGAACUGAGCGUGGGGACUGAGGGCUGGAACUCAGUAGGGGGAGGCUGUGAGUGCUGGAACUGAGCGGGGGAAAUGAGGGCUAGAACUCAGUAGGGGGAGGCUGUGAGUGCUGGAACUGAGCGUGGGGACUGAGGGCUGGAACUCAAUAGGGGGAGGCUGUGAGUGCUGCAACUGAGCGGGGGUUCUGAGUGCUGGAACUGAGCGGGGGAAAUGAGGGCUGGAACUCAGUAGGGGGAGGCUGUGAGUGCUGGAACUGAGCAGGGGAAAUGAGGGCUAGAACUCAGUAGGGGGAGGCUGUGAGUGCUGGAACUGAGCGUGGGGACUGAGGGCUGGAACUCAAUAGGGGGAGGCUGUGAGUGCUGGAACUGAGCGGGGGGAUACUGUGAGUGCUGGAACUGUCUCUGGGGAGUCCUGUCUGGAGCCUUGAAAAAGGCAAACAGCCCUUGAAACGGCAGGGUGGGGAGAGUUGACCAAAAGGUUAAAAAGCAAUUUAACAGAAAUCCAACUCUUUAGGAUUCUUGCUUCUUCCACCGUGUUGCCUCCAGAAGAACAGAAAAUAAAAUCUCCAUUUUGCAGUUAUCAUCUGACCAGCAGUUACCACGGAGGGCCAGGUGUGGUCAAGGGCUCUAGAACAUUUGUCUACACAGUUUCCCUCUUUGAUCUCUGUGAUUUAUAGAUAGGCACUUAAAGGUGGGAUUAAUGUGUAAAGAGCCGUCAGAGUGAAGGAUCUAAGUCCCUGGAAAUGAAGGAUUGGAUGAAAGUGUUUCUUAAGGACAGUUUUAAUAAUCGUGGUACACAUACUGUAGCAUUAGUACUUCCAUUGUAAAAACUUGGUAUUUGACUUACCUGCCAAAGUCUACUGCUUACCUGCACAUAGGUGCAUCAGCUUUGCAGAUUCUUUUUAAAUGUGUCAGCCCACGUUUUUAAAAACUGGUUUAGAAAAUUCUCACUGGGCUUCCCGCCUCUAUCACUGAUCUAAUCAUGAUUCAUCUUAUGGCUGGGAAAGCAUCACUAGCCUGGAGAAACUGAACGGUGGUGUCGAGUCUUGUUUUCAGUUUUUAUUAGUAUUUCCUGUUUCAUACAGCCCACCUUUCUGGGCAAUCAGCCUAACACACCAUAGCCUUAUUUUCUGAAACACUUUUAUUUAUGCACACACACAUGUAUACACGUAGUUAGAGCUGGGUGAAAUCCUGGCAGUAACCAGACCUGCUUUUUCAUUUUAUCCAUCAGAUCUCUUGGUGUCUUCUCUUAUUACUCAGGGUACUCAUGUGAACAUUUAUUGUUUUGUUUUGUUUUUUGAGGCGGAGUCUCGCUCUGUCGCCAAGCUGCAGGGCAGUGGCAGGAUCUCCGCUCACUGCAAACUCUGUCUCUCGGGUUCAAGCAAUUCUCUUGCCUCAGCCUGCCAAGUAGCUGGGAUUACAGGUGCAUGCCACCACGCCCAGCUAAUUUUUGUAUUUUUAAUAGAAACAGGAUUUCACCAUGUUGGUCAGGAUGGUCUCGAUCUCUCGAUCUCGUGAUCUGCCCGCCUUGGUCUCCCAAAGUGCUGGGAUUACAGGCAUGAGCCACCCCGGCUGGCCUUAUGUGAACAUGUCUAAACACAUACACACAUAUUGCAUAGUCUGUGUGUGUGUGUGUGCAUAGGUGCAUCUGCAGAAAUAAGUCUACAACUCCAGGCAAUAGCUGGAGAAUCUCCAGGAUGGGCUUAUGUCACAGUAGGGUGUGAUGUGGGGUGUGCCUGCUAUGUGUGUUGGGUGGGGUUGGAGUGGGAUGGGUUGAGCUGGUAACACUGAGAAUCUUUGGCCCUGAGCUCCAUAAACUGAACCCGUGGGGGAGGUGCGUAGCUGGGUGCAAACUCCGUAAUUCCCAUUUGACUUUGGCCCAGUUAGUUAACUGCUCUGAGCCUCAGUUUGCACAUCUGUAGGGUGGGGAUAAAUAGUACCUGCUUCCUAUGACUGGAGAAAAGAGUGGUGUGAUAGGGGUAAAAUGUUCAGCAUCGUGCCAGACACCUGGUAGCCACCUGGUACAUGCGAGUACCAUCGGGGCACCGUGUAAGCCUGAAAAUUGAUCCGGUGACAGAGCCGCCUAAGUGUUUUGUCUUCUUUUUUUUUUUUAAAUACCAGAGAGCUGUUAAGAAUCAUCAGAUUUCCACAUAAAAGACUUGAUGUUUGUUCUCAGCUCAAAAAUAGGUACAAACGUCAGUGUGAAUUGAGAUUUCCAGGAAAAGUAGACAAAAGAAAAAAAAAAAACUGAACAACAUUUUCCCUUUGGAUUUGAUGUGAAUGUUGUUGACCAGAACUGGAGGUGAAGAGGAGAGAAUUAACUGCCUUCCCUCCAGAGGGACCAGGCAUUGAAAUGUGCAUUCCAGAUUCCCCUGGCGCAGUGAGCUUUGGAGUUAGAGGAUGAGCUGAUGAUCUCUUUCUUUCCAUAGAGGAUGUCUACAUGCAGCCAGAGCUGCCCACAUGGCAACACCCUUCCUAGGCGUUAAGGACUCAGUGAAGAACAACACCAGCUUGGUGUCCACCCUUGGGUUGCUGUUGCUGCCUAGUGGGAAAGACUUGGGGCCAGGCAGUUACCAUGCUCGGC